rnacentral:rRNA from 1 species
ACUUAAAUUGAAGAGUUUGAUCAUGGCUCAGAUUGAACGCUGGCGGCAGGCCUAACACAUGCAAGUCGAGCGGUAACACAGAGAGCUUGCUCUCGGGUGACGAGCGGCGGACGGGUGAGUAAUGUCUGGGAAACUGCCUGAUGGAGGGGGAUAACUACUGGAAACGGUAGCUAAUACCGCAUAACGUCGCAAGACCAAAGUGGGGGACCUUCGGGCCUCAUGCCAUCAGAUGUGCCCAGAUGGGAUUAGCUAGUAGGUGGGGUAAUGGCUCACCUAGGCGACGAUCCCUAGCUGGUCUGAGAGGAUGACCAGCCACACUGGAACUGAGACACGGUCCAGACUCCUACGGGAGGCAGCAGUGGGGAAUAUUGCACAAUGGGCGCAAGCCUGAUGCAGCCAUGCCGCGUGUAUGAAGAAGGCCUUCGGGUUGUAAAGUACUUUCAGCGAGGAGGAAGGCAUUAAGGUUAAUAACCUUGGUGAUUGACGUUACUCGCAGAAGAAGCACCGGCUAACUCCGUGCCAGCAGCCGCGGUAAUACGGAGGGUGCAAGCGUUAAUCGGAAUUACUGGGCGUAAAGCGCACGCAGGCGGUCUGUCAAGUCGGAUGUGAAAUCCCCGGGCUCAACCUGGGAACUGCAUUCGAAACUGGCAGGCUAGAGUCUUGUAGAGGGGGGUAGAAUUCCAGGUGUAGCGGUGAAAUGCGUAGAGAUCUGGAGGAAUACCGGUGGCGAAGGCGGCCCCCUGGACAAAGACUGACGCUCAGGUGCGAAAGCGUGGGGAGCAAACAGGAUUAGAUACCCUGGUAGUCCACGCCGUAAACGAUGUCGACUUGGAGGUUGUGCCCUUGAGGCGUGGCUUCCGGAGCUAACGCGUUAAGUCGACCGCCUGGGGAGUACGGCCGCAAGGUUAAAACUCAAAUGAAUUGACGGGGGCCCGCACAAGCGGUGGAGCAUGUGGUUUAAUUCGAUGCAACGCGAAGAACCUUACCUACUCUUGACAUCCAGAGAACUUAGCAGAGAUGCUUUGGUGCCUUCGGGAACUCUGAGACAGGUGCUGCAUGGCUGUCGUCAGCUCGUGUUGUGAAAUGUUGGGUUAAGUCCCGCAACGAGCGCAACCCUUAUCCUUUGUUGCCAGCGGUUAGGCCGGGAACUCAAAGGAGACUGCCAGUGAUAAACUGGAGGAAGGUGGGGAUGACGUCAAGUCAUCAUGGCCCUUACGAGUAGGGCUACACACGUGCUACAAUGGCAUAUACAAAGAGAAGCGACCUCGCGAGAGCAAGCGGACCUCAUAAAGUAUGUCGUAGUCCGGAUUGGAGUCUGCAACUCGACUCCAUGAAGUCGGAAUCGCUAGUAAUCGUAGAUCAGAAUGCUACGGUGAAUACGUUCCCGGGCCUUGUACACACCGCCCGUCACACCAUGGGAGUGGGUUGCAAAAGAAGUAGGUAGCUUAACCUUCGGGAGGGCGCUUACCACUUUGUGAUUCAUGACUGGGGUGAAGUCGUAACAAGGUAACCGUAGGGGAACCUGCGGUUGGAUCACCUCCUUACCUUAAAGAA